rnacentral:tRNA from 1 species
GGAGGAUUGGCCGAGAGGCAAGGCACCGGCUUGCUAAGCCGAGGUCGGGGUGUCCCCCCGCGCACGUUCGAUCCGUGCAUCCUCCG